UUUCUAGAGGAGAUUGCAGACUUCUAUCAGAAAACUGUACAGCUAGAGGUGCAGUGAACUCUUCACCAGAUGCCAGUAGGCAAGAAGUCGAUGGAAACACGUUCAGCACGUGUGAGGCAUUGGAUGAAGACAUCCAACUAUGACUAAAGUCAUCUUUUUGAAAACCUGACACAUUCAUGCAGAUGGAUACGAAACUCUACCAGUAAGAAUCUCAUGCUACAACCAGACACCUGGGACAGAACUGCUUAGAACCCAGUGCGAAGAGUUCCCUUAAUUCUCUGAGGUGUUAGCAAGCCCUCCCGGCUUAACUGGCUCUAUGUUUACUCCAUCCUUUGGAUCAUUAAUAAUGACAGUAAAUAAAACCCAACCAAGGAAGCUAGUUCUUUUAAUCUGACAGGUACUGAAGAGGCAGUCACACCUCAAAAUGAAGAAAUACCUGCAGCCAGAAAUCCCUAAGUUUCCCAUAUAACAACUGAGCUCUUUAGCAAUACAAUUUUUAAAUUUUAAUAGUUAGGAAAGAGACUUGGCUAAGUAAACCAUGGUCCACUAUCCGCUUGAGCCCUGGGUACUCUCUGUUAAUGCUACCUAGUCUCAAUAUGCUUGAGGCUUGGUCUUUAGAUGUGAGCUCAUUUUACCUUUACUUGGUUUAUCUAUUUGUUUAACAUAAGAAAUAUAUUUUAGAAAAAAUAGAAAAAGAAGUCACUAGAAAAAACAAAAAUUACUUGUAAUUCCACCAUCAGGAGAAAACUAAGUUUAUCAUUGAAUAUGUAUCAUAAUAAAAAUUUUCUAUGCACAGAAUUAGAAAUGCAUUUUAGAACUGUGUAAUUUA